rnacentral:rRNA from 1 species
UACGUAGGGCGCAAGCGUUGUCCGGAAUUAUUGGGCGUAAAGAGCUCGUAGGCGGUCUGUCGCGUCGGCUGUGAAAACUCGGGGCUCAACCCCGAGCCUGCAGUCGAUACGGGCAGACUAGAGUUCGGUAGGGGAGACUGGAAUUCCUGGUGUAGCGGUGAAAUGCGCAGAUAUCAGGAGGAACACCGGUGGCGAAGGCGGGUCUCUGGGCCGAUACUGACGCUGAGGAGCGAAAGCGUGGGGAGCAAACAGG